AAAAACAACUGUCAAAUUGCAGCAAAGUUUGCUGAAUUCUGAAAGAAUACUUUUAACUAUUUGUCACAUCACAAAGAGAGUGACUGUAACUACAUUCCAACUAAUUAUCUUCGUUUACUUUAUUGACAGUUUAAUAUUAAGCCGGUGGGAUUGAAAACAACAGCGUUGCUUGCGGUCAACAGUCCCUAAGUCUGCGCACUCAUUCUGUGUAACAGAGCAGACGUGCUGUACCAGUAAUGGCAGACACCGGUGACAGCUCCACUCUCCCGAAAACUCUCAACUUUAACGUCGGUGUCCUCGGCCAUGUGGACAGCGGCAAAACGUCGCUUGCCCGUGCGCUGAGCAGCACCGCAUCCACUGCUGCUUUCGACAAGAACCCUCAGUCCAAAGAGCGAGGCAUCACGCUGGAUCUGGGGUUUAGUGCUUUUACCGUGCCCUUACCGGAGCACAUGAAGGAGGCCUGCCGAGAUGCUCGGGACCGAGAAUACGACAGUCUGCAGUUCACGCUGGUCGAUUGUCCGGGUCAUGCCUCCCUCAUACGCACUAUCAUCGGAGGUGCUCAGAUCAUUGACCUGAUGAUGUUGGUGGUUGACAUUGUGAAAGGUAUGCAAACACAAACAGCAGAGUGCCUUUUGAUUGGUCAGCUCACCUGUUCCCGCAUGGUUGUUAUCCUCAACAAAACAGACCUGUUGCCUAGUGACAAGAGACAGGCGGCCAUAGACAAGAUGACCAAGAGGAUGCACAAAACUCUUGAGAACACAAGAUUUAAAGGCUGCCCUGUUGUUGCUGUGGCAGCAAAGCCUGGUGGUCCUGAGGCCCCGGAUACACAGGAGGCACAAGGAAUCCCUGAACUCAUAGAAUUAUUGAAGGCCCAGGCUUUCCUUCCUCGUAGAGAUCCAUCGGGUUCUCUUCUGAUGGCUGUAGAUCACUGUUUCUCCAUACGUGGCCAGGGAACCGUCAUAACUGGCACCAUCCUACAAGGGUCUCUCAGUGUGAAUGAUACUGUGGAGAUACCUGCUCUAAAGGUAACCCGCAAGGUGAAAUCCGUGCAGAUGUUUCGUAAGCCAGUUCCUAGUGCCAUGCAAGGGGAUCGGGUUGGUGUUUGUGUGACACAGUUUGACCCAAAGCUGCUGGAACGAGGUGUAGUAUGCACACCAGGUUCAUUGCAAACUCUUUACGCUGCUAUUAUAUCUGUCCAAAAGAUUGAAUACUAUCGUGGAGCACUUAGCAGCCGUGCAAAGUUCCACAUUACCAUUGGACACGAAACUGUUAUGGCACGUAUCUCAUUCUUCAUUCGAGUGCUUCCCGACAAUGCGUGUGGAGAUGGAAGCCUCAACUCUCAGGAGCAAAGCUCAAACUCUUUCUCAUUCGAUUGGGAGUUUCACCAUUUGGAUGAGUAUUUGACUGUGGGUGAGAGAAGGGAACCACAACAAUGGGCAUUACUUGAGUUUGAACGGCCGGUCACAUGUCCAUCACUUUGCUUAGUGAUUGGGUCCAGGCUGGACUCAGAUAUCCACGGUAAUACAUGCAGGCUUGCCUUUCAAGGAAAGCUGUUGGAAGGGUUUGAGGACAAAAACUACACUGAGACCGCACUGCCUCGGCUGAAAAUCAGCAAAGACAAGCAGAAAGAAGGAGCUGUGGAGCGGGUGACAGAUGACUACACUGUGAUUGGUCGAAACCUGUUUAAGAAGGAGACCAACCUUCAGUUGUUUGUGGGCUUAAAAGUCACACUGUCGACUGGAGAGACAGGAUCCAUUGAAGGGAGCUUCGGCCAGAGUGGCAAGAUCAAAAUCAGAAUACCAGAGGGGCUGAAAGAAGAAACCAAACAGCUUCUAACCUCUUCCUCUAAGAAGAAGGGGAAGGGUGGAACCAAAAAUGAAUCCUCCAAAUCAGAGGAAACCAAACAAGACCCUCAGACAGUCACCAUUCACCUGAACUUCAAACGCUAUAUUUAUGACCCCCACAAAAAGAUGGUGCAGUCCUGAUCCUCACAGUGAUCAUUCUUGGAGAAACCAUUGAGUAGAGCUUAAAGGGACAGUUCACCCAAAAAUGAAAAUUCUUUGAUUAUUUACUCACCCUCAUGACAUCCCAGAGAAGAAGAUUGGGAACUCCUACAAUUUGGUUAUAGCAUGGUGUGCUGUCAUUCACUUGCAAUAUUAGAAGUAUUCGGACUGGUGUAGUUUGCAUACUGAUCGACCACUCAUCUAUCUCUUCUUUGCGAGGAUUUGAAGUUUAUUGUGUUUCACUGUGCAUUAAUAUUAAUGAAGCAGAGUUACAUUUUUCUCAUUAUUACAGCAGGAGGAAGGAGACAGAACACUCAGUUAAACGCUGCAGGCGUCAGAACUCAGUGCGUGUCUAACUUAAUACAGCUUUCAUGGCUGCUCAGUGUUUGUAACAUUGACUCAUGAAAUUGUUAAAUACACUGUCUUUUACUCUCUUUUAUUUUCCCCUACAGUGACUCAGAUAUGAAUCUAGGUCUUAUGUUGUGUGUGUGAGUGCAUGCAUGUACAAUCCUUUGAUAUGACAGCUUGAGUCUGUUAACCUCUCUAAUCAGGGUCCUUCAUCAGAGAGGUCUUUCAGAGUGCCUGUUUAAAAUACAAAAAUGAAUUGAAAGAGAAGAGGGACUGAAAAAGGGAAUAGAGACUGUGUGUGUGUGUGUGUGUGUGUGUGUGUGUGUGAGAGAGAGAGAGAGAGAGAGAGAGAGAGAGAGAGAGAAAGAGAGAGAGAGAUAGGGAGAAACAGAAAUAAAACAUAUGAUUUCCCAUGAGGUAGGAGCUGCAGAUUAUCUCCUUCCUGAAACCUGGACCUGCACUGAUCUUGAUAUGAGCCCAAAUUGUGGGUAAAGUCACGCUCAGUGUUUGAGUUACCGCUGACAUUGACAUUAUCGACUUCAUCAACAUGGGCAAUUGACAUUUGUGUUGUGCAUUUUUAAUUAUUUUCUUUGAUCUCAAGUUUUCUGCCUCAAAGAGUGCUUUCUCUCACUUAUUCUGUCUCCCACCAUUUUUAGUUUUACACACUGUAUGUAGAUGCUGCAAUAACAAUGUCAAAGAUGUAGAGGGCAUUAGUACCCCCAGAGUCAGGAGAAGUCACUAGUGGUACUUGCGAAGGCAAGCAUUACUAUUGCUCAUAUUGAAGGGUAGGGCUUUAAACAAACCCCAAACUUCCCUCCACACUGUGUUGUCACAGACAAGAAUGAUACCUGGAAUCAUUAGUGUAUUAAGUGGCUAUUACUGUUCUAAAUGAUCAAACUCGCACAAUUUCUUACAUGGCGGAUGAUAAAACGAGUUAAAAAAUCCCAUAGACUUAUAUUGAAAGAAGGGCCCGAGCAAUAUCUACACUCUAAAAAAAGAUUUUUUGAGGACAUUAAUAGUUCAAUUUAGAACUAGAUAGGUAAAGUUUGUCAAGACAAACUUUUAUGUUUGCUUGACAAAGCCUUGUCUGAAAGUUUAAAUUACUUUUAAAAGUUUUAAGUUUUAUGGUUAAAUGUACAUUACAGUAAGACAAACAGCUAGCUAGCUAGCUAGAUGGACAGACUGUCACUAGAGACUAUUUAGCAGAGACAGACCACUUCUAUUAAAAUGAAUGAGAGAAAUUUGAAUGGCCAACGGAUAUAAAAAUGGAAGUCCCGCAUUACAGGUAAAGGAGCCAAUCACCUUUUAGAUACAGACAUUGCCUGUCAAUCAACUCAAGAACAUGCAUGCACAUUUGCUGGUAUCCAUAAUCCAUAUAAAUAGCAGCCCAGCCUGCCCGGAAGCUUUCCAAAGAUGGCCACCGAGUGGACUGACUUGCUUUGAAAGGCACUUUGCUGUAACAUAGAUAAAUCGAAUAAAAUGUCAGAUAGAUGGAUAGAUAGACAGAGAGAGAGAAACUUAAAGUCGCACUGAAGUGCCUUGACGGGCGCAGUUCGAUUUGGUGUUUUGAUAUGUUUCCUACUAAAACUUGAAGUGGGGGCGGGACAUGUCAAACAGCGCGUCCCAUUUCUAAAAAUAGCCAAUAGGCUUUAGUAUACAGCCACACACACAUAUUCCCCUUUCCAUGGUGCUACUCAUUCCAGAACCGCUUAACGGGGAAACUUUAGAAGCGAUGUCAGUACUGGCCAAUUUUUGUAAUGACUUGACAACCGAACAAUGAUCUAACUGACAACAGUAAUACAUAAAGGUGGCUCUACACUAGCUGAUUUUUCCAAUGAUUUUCAGGUGUUAGCUUCAUUAACAUAAUCACUGGACAGGCAGCGGGAGACAGUGCACCCAUUAGCUCCUCUCAGUGGGAGGUGUUAAUCAUUUGACUCUCUGGACUCCCAACUGAGUUAAUGCAUUGAAACACUGAAAAUACACAUCUGGCUUGCUUGAAAUGAUCUCUGGCUGUGGGUGGGGCAGGAACCAAUGAGUGCAAUUCAUGUAUAAAGCGAUUUUUUUUCUGCAGAAAAAGCAUGACUUCUGGAAAGUGCUUGUGCACGGUGUAUUUGGAGGAGAAUUUUAUUGCUCUUUGGAGUCAGCACGAAUGUUUGUAUGACAUCUCAUUUGUAAUAUCAUAACAGACCAUUAAAAGAAAAAUAAGUGGUCAGAGAUCGCUGCCGAACUCAAUGUACAUGGUAAUGAAUCAUUUAAAUAUACAAUAACAAUUAUGAGUAGCCAGGCUGUAAUUAAUGGGGAAUUUAAGCAACAGAUGUGGACGCAACAGCUAUGACCUUCUCUGUUCUUUUGCGCAUGCAUGAUUUUGAUGCGCUACUUCCAGCCGGUGUGCUGUGAGCGCCUACUAUGGGAGAAUCACUGCUGAGAAUUUGCUGUUACUAUUCAACAGAUUUGGUAAAUAAAUUUUAUGAAUUAUAAUAUGUGGUUUUGAAAUUGUGUCUAUAAUAGGUUUUUGCCAUUAGUCUUUUAAUGAAUUCUGUGUAGCGAUUUUUUUAAACUAUGUCUAAUUAUAUUGUAUUUCCAGUUUGUUCAAAGAAAUGUCCUCUGUUGCCAACAACACAUCAGAUGAUGCAAAGCGAUCACAUUAAGUAGCCAAACAUCCCCCUCAAAACUUUAUAAAUUACCCAAUGUCGGUUAGAAUAGACUUUGAAUAAGUUAGCCAGCAACACAGGUAAUUAUAGGCUUCUUGUUCAUGUAUGAGCUAUAUAAAUGUGAGGAGUAGUGGCACAUCAGCAGAAACAACAGAGCUUGAUGAGCUCAUUAAAGAAAUAACAGGGAAAGAAAGGGCAGCAGAGGAAAACAGAGAGAGUGAUGAGAAUAGGAGGAAGAUAGAGGCAGACCGUGCUGAAGCAAGGAAGAGGGCCAUGGAGAGAGUGAAUCAGACAGACCACCAGGAGGCUUAGCAACGAGGGAGAAGAUUGUAGAACCAACAAACGUUAAAGGAGAAGUGGGAAUGACACCACUGAAUUUUUGAGGGAGAGAGGACAGGCAGAGAGGGAGCUGAGGGAAAAGAAAUAUAGAUUGAAGGGCAAGCAAAGGCAGCACAAGAGUCACAAAAGCAGAUGACUGCAAUGAUGCAGCAAAUGCAAAACUAGCAGCAGCAUAUGCAAGCAGUGCCGGCUAUGCUACUUCAGCAACAGCAAGGGCAAGCAUUACUUACCCUCAUUGAAAGUGUCAAAGAAAUAGUUAUUUUACUGUUCAUACACAUUUAUUUAUUUAUUCUGAUUUCAUUAAACAUUUUAAUGUACAAAUGCUCUAUUGAUAAUAAUA